UUAAAAAUUAAAUUGAUAACGAUGGUUGCUUAUGGUCAAUGGUAUUAGUUCAUGAUAAAGAUUGAUUAAGCUAAUUAUAUUUUUUUAAUAAUAAAAUGUAGUGUGUUUUGUAAACAAGAAAAAUAAAAUAAAAAUUUAAAUUUUUUUUCAUUUUUAAAAGACAAAAAAAUGAGAAUAGUUUUGAAAAUAAUUAAAUCCAACACACUUAAACAAUUUUUUAAUUUUUUGUUUUUAAUAAUUAAAAAAUAGUUUUUGAAAACAGAAACUACACAGGCCCUUAAGAUUCCAUUUAAAAACAAGCAAAAUUAUGGUGGAAAUGAACAGGAUGAGCCAAUGGUCUUAUAAUCUUAUUGGCAUGCUUGUAAUCCUAAACCGUUAUUUGCCCUUCUAAUUUCGAAAAAAGAAAUGAACAUGAUGAGACAUAAUUUGGGCCAAACAAGCCUAACAGCCUAGCCAACCAUGCCAGAUAAUUGUCUGCAACAUGAUCAUUGUAUCUUUCAAACAUGCAAACUGGUGUUGAAUUGUCUGGCCCAAUAUCAACUUUGUUGUUCCUCUUUUGGUAUCAAAGGCGUCUGUCUCCCAAGCGACAGUCAAGGAUUAGUUCCUUUUAAAACAUUGAAAUCACAUAAGUGAACUUUGUCUUUGCUAACAGGAUAUUUUUUUUUCAUAAAAAUUAUUGUUUAAACCCCUAAGGCCCUAACAUAUUUAAAUUAUUAUUUUUUAAUCUUAAAGUUGAAGGCCAACAACUUAUUUUUGAAAUGAUACUUAAAUUAUUUGAAUUUCAGUUAAAACUAUAAUUAUUAUUAUUUUUGGAACUUGUUAAUUGUAAGAUUUUUUUUAUUGUACAUUUUAUUUGUUUAAAUAAAAAUAUAUUAAAAUCAUAAAAUAACAAUGAAGUAAAGUUGAAUUUGUGUCGGUCUAAUUUCAAUGCUUUAAACUUUUGCUUAAAUGACUUUCCCCUGUUUUGUCAUCGGAUGCUUGCUGAUUUAUCCUUUCAUAUAAAGGCUCGUUCACUUUGUUGACUUAUUUUCUGUUCUUGUCAAUAUCUUAUGAGAUUAUAUACGGUGAUUUGGAAUCAGACACGUCGACAAACAGGAUUAAGAAACGUCGACAACAACAGCGUAAAAGCAGACAGAUCCAGGAAAAAAGGGCUGUAGCCGCAAAUUAUAGAUUUGGGAUAUCGUUAUGAGUAAUUAUUCUAAUUAAAAUAUACCAUCUGAUU